rnacentral:rRNA from 1 species
CGAAAGCCUGACGGAGCAAGACCGCGUGAGGGAGGAAGGCUCUUGGGUUGUAAACCUCUUUUCUCAGGGAAGAAGCUCUGACGGUACCUGAGGAAUCAGCAUCGGCUAACUCCGUGCCAGCAGCCGCGGUAAUACGGGGGAUGCAAGCGUUAUCCGGAAUUAUUGGGCGUAAAGCGUCCGUAGGCGGCUAGAUAAGUCUGUUGUUAAAGCGUGCAGCUCAACUGCAUACGGGCAAUGGAAACUAUUUAGCUAGAGUGUGGUAGGGGUAGAGGGAAUUCCCGGUGUAGCGGUGAAAUGCGUAGAUAUCGGGAAGAACACCAGUGGCGAAAGCGCUCUGCUGGGCCACAACUGACGCUGAUGGACGAAAGCUAGGGGAGCG